CCCGGUCGACCCGGGUUCAAAUCCGCCUGCCGGCUCCUCGGGUGUUUGAGGAGUGAUGAAAUGGGAGGUGGCCCCCCAUCUUAUGGACGAUGUAGGACGUGAUAAGAUCAACUUGCGAGCUGACCAGGAACUAAGUUGAUGCGCCGUUGAUCCGCUAGAUUUGGUUGGAUGCUGGUGGUGAGUUGCCGAACCCAAUGAAUACAUUCUGAAGUCGGAUGGGGUGACGGAUUAGGGUGCCCCUCUAGCAGGGGAGAGCAGGGAACUGCCUCGGGAAAGGGGGCCGCUGGCGAAGUUAACCACCCUGUAACAACAUACAUACAGGAAGCCAAGAGGUAAAGAACCUCUUCGGCCUCUGCAGUGGUACGGCCCCGGAAGUCCCCACACAUCUCCCCGGGGGCCGGUGGGUGGUAUGGAAAGGGACGGGAAGGGAAUGCUGUCGGCAGUGUCUUCAUUGUUAAAUUCCGACAGACUGAGUGACUAGGCCCGACCUAGAAGCUCUGCAGAUGAGGACGAGAUGGUUCUUAUGGCGCAACAUCACCCCCUCACCCUCGCUAAGGCACGCCCCCUCCAUAUUACCACCAACAAACCCAUCACCUUUUUUUCAAUGCAGCGAGCCUCCUCCUCCCCAUAACCCUUCACAUCUGCUCUCCGCUCCCCCCCCGGCCUCCUCCUCCUCCCCCACCCGUUCCGGAUCCCCCCGUGGCCCUCCUCACCUCCUUAGCAGCUAGUCCCGACCACACUCGGCCUUGCGCCACCUCCUCCAUCACCUCCGGCUCCAUCCCCCGGGACAAGGCCGCCUUGUUGCGGAAGGACUCAUACGCGUGCUGGGCGGAGGCGUCGAACAACUUCUCCUCCUGGACGGGUGAGGUGUGUGUUUGUGUGUGGAGGGGGGAGGAAGGGAGAGGUGAGGGAGUGUUCGACAGAGUUUACGGUUGCCCUUCAUCGGUCGCCUUCCUAAGUCCCUCUCGCAUUCCUCGACCCUCUCCUCAUACUCUCAUCCCACUCUUCACCCAACCCACCCACACACUACCGCCCAAGGACUUCACACCUCUUGUGAGCGGCCCCCCUUCCCCUCCCCCUUCCCCCUCCCCCUUCCCCCUCCCGCAUUAUCUCUUUUGAGUUUUCCGCAGUUGAUUUCCCCUUCCCCCCUAGCUGCCAGGCAGCUACCUGAGAGAAACAAACGCUGUACGAACCAUGUUCGAUGAAACGGCCAUGUAAAGGCCGCCACCACGAACACAAACACGAAACACAAACACGAAACACACACACGAAACACACAAGCACACCUCCCCAUCCUCACCUCCUCGUUGAAGCCCUUGAUAUCCGACAACAGGAGGGCGUAACGGCCCCAGCUGAGCAGUACCUUGUUAUAGCUGUACGGCGGGUUUAGUGGCCGGCGGGGAAGGGCGGGGGGAAGGGCGGAGGGCCAACAACACCACAGGAUGCUGAGCGGUGGGGUUGUACUGGUUCCCAAUGGCAGGAAGAACCAUAUGCAGCAGCAUACAAAAGGCAAGGCAGGUGGCUGAGAGACACACACACACAUACAUACAUACACACACGUGAGAUUGGAGGGGGGGAGAAAGAAAGUAAUAGAGAGGGGGGGAGGGAGGGUUUCACUCACUCACCCGAUCUUGCAGUACAGCUCCGACAGAUUGAACUUCCCGGUGACCACCCCGAUGGAGCCCGUGAUGGUGAGUGGCUCGGCGACGAUGGCCCUGUAUGUACGUAUGUAUGUAUGUAUGUUAAAGGAGGAGGGAAAAGGGCAAAGCGGCAGGAUUACCGCUGGAGGUGUCGUGGGCUUGUCCGUAAACAUAUAAGGGUUUGGCACUACUGGUAACGCGCGACCAUUGCCCCCGGGAGAUCCCGGGGUGGAAGGUAUUGCGCCCCAAGUUGAUGGACCACGGUGGUGACAUGGGAUAAAGUUAACCUGCGAGCCGACCAGGAAUGGAGUUGGGCCGCUGUCGACCCGGCAGAUUCCGUUGGAUGCUGGUGGUGGGUGCGGAACCUGAGCGAUCCACUGAGAGGUUGACUAGGGUGACUGGAUGAGGGUGCCCCGAAAUACCGGGGAAGGCAGGGUUUCGCAGGGUAGCUGCCACGGGCGAAGAUAUACCCCCCUGUUUCACACAUCAUAUGAGAGGAAAAUCCGCCAGGACGUGACACAACCCCGGAGUGUUCAUCCAUCCGUACAAAAAGCAAGGAAAAGCAGGUCCCCGCCGAUCCCACCAAAAGGAAACCCAUUCUUCUGUUCCCGAUCCCCCAAGGGCCCUUGCCGCUUUUUUUAAUAUCCAAAAAACUGACAAUUCCAGUUCCCACACUUUCCCCACCUCGCCGCCAUAGCCAUGUAAUAACCGCCGCUGGCUGCCACGUCAGCCAUGGACGCAAUGACGGGUUUUACGGCAUCCAGUUGCCGUAUUUCCCGCCACAUCAGGUCCGCCGACAGGGCGUCGCCGCCGGGGGAGUCAAUUCGCAGUACAACCGCUGCAACCGACUUGUCCCUUGAAAGCGGGAAGAAACCGAAAAGAGCGGGAAAGGAAAGAAGAGAUGUGAGGAACAGAAAGGAAGGGAACAACAAGGAGUGGAGAGGGAAUGCGAAAGGGAUGAUGAAUGUGCUGUUGGGGCGGCGAGGGGAAGAAAAAACACAGCCCGGGGCGCAGGGGAGAAGGCACACGUCACUUGCGGUACAUACAUACACACGCAAGGCAGGUGGCUGGCAGAGGUUAAGGCCUGACUUCUGCUCCCGGAGGUUCCAAUCCGCCUGCCGACCCCUCGGUGUGUGUGAGGGGUGUUGGUCAACUUGCGAGCUGACCAGGAACUAAGUUGAGGCGCCGUUGAUCCGCUAGAUUUGGUUGGAUGCUGGUGGUGAGUUGCUGAACCCAAUGAAUACAUUCUGAAGUCGGAUGGAGUGAAUGGAUUAGGGUGCCCCUCUACCAGGGGAGAGCAGGGAACUGCCUCCAAGGGGAAGGGGGCCGCUGGUGAAGCUAUACCACCCUGUAACAACAUACAUACAUGCAUAUCAGGCAAGCACUCAUCAGGCACGCGACCUGACAAAGCACGAUAGCCACCAUACCCGCAAAAGGUGGGGGAAGGGGGAAAGAGCUCCCAUACACCCACCCGCCCAUCCAUCCACCCAUCCAUGCAUCCACCCAUCCAUGCAUGCAUGCAUACAAUCAUACAUGCAUACAUACCCCAAUGUCACUCACUUGGCCAAGGCACGUAGCUUGGGAAUGACGCCGUCGGGGGUAAUGGCGGCGCCAGAGGACUUGCCUGGAGAGGAAAUCGUACGGCAUAGUACGGUGUACGACACCGAACAGAUAUAUAAGGCAGCAUGAGGCCAAGUGUGAGCAGCCUCAGUCCGGAGGAUUUAGACAACCCUGAAACACCCUUCAUGCUCAUGCCCUCAUGUUCACCUUUAAUGACUAAUAAACCGACCACCAACUCCCCUCCCUCUCCCCCCGCUGACGGUUCACCCACUCACCCACAAUGGCGCCCGCCGUUCUCAGUACGGCAAUCCGCUUUUUUCCCCCCGCCAGCCCGAAUGCGGUGGGGCUGACGGCCGAGUACUUCCGCAGGCCGACGCGGCGGAGCGGCGCCGCCAGCGCCUUCUCCCGCUUCUCCUUCUCCUUCUCACUUUCGCCGUCGCGGGGCCGCAGACCUGCGGACAGACAGACAGACAGACAGACAGACAGACGCGGAGGACAGGGGGACAGGAAAUAUAUACAAGGAAUGAAAGGAAUGAAAGGAAUGAACGGGGUAAGACGAAGGGUAAAAAGGGAAAACAACAACAAGAGGGGUUACAUGUUGAUAUCCACACCGGCACAGACUACCCGGGGAGGGGGGAGGGGGGAAGACGAACCACAAACGAGUGAACGGGGGGAGGGGGGGGAGGGGGGUUGAGAAAGGAAGGUGGGUAGGGGGGGAGGGGCGAGUAAGGUAACAGAUUGGUAGACAGAGACACAACAUGAGCGGGGGGUGGGGGUGGGGAUGGGGGUGGGGGUGGGGGUGCGGGUGGGGGAAUGUGCGUGUUUUGAGGACAGCGGGGGAAGAGGGGGGAAGAGGGGGUUAAGUAAACAACGCGAAGGAAAGUAGCCGCGCAUUGCCGUACACACCCCACAAAGCCCCCGCGCCCCUUUCCACAUCUCCACUUCCCCCUCCCCGCCUCUUACCCCCUCCCAAACCCCAAACCCUAUACACGAAAACCCGACACACACAUACACACACACACCCCUCCGUGAUACCCACCCGUGGUCCUCAUCUUCAGCUCGGUCAACAGCUCGUCUUCGUACCAUAGAUCCGUAAUCCAGCCACCCGAUUUGAACUUCUGCAUGUCGUACACACCCUCAUGAAUGAACUCCUUGACUUCCUGCAGUUCAGCAGUACGGCGGCGAGAGAGAGAGACGGCAACCCCCGGUGGCGGUGGUCGUUGGGGGAAGGAGGGGAGGAGGGGGAGGGAGGGGGAGGGAGGGGGAGGGAGGGGGAGGGAGGGGGAGGGAGGGGAAAACGCCGAACCACGAGCGAGUGAAGCUGCUGCCAAGGAAAGAGUGCUGCGGCAGAUGUACAGUACGGUAGCAGAACUGACCAGUCGGGGGGGGGAGGGGGAGGGGGUUAUAUUAUUGGGACGAACAGGGGAAGUACGUACGUACGUACGAACGUCAGGGGUUCCAAGCAACCCCUCUAGACGAUCCUUGUGCCAGGUGGGAUGACACGUCACCUUCCGUACACCAGCAAAACCCCUCCUCCCCCUUCCGGCCCCUAGCUCCACGCUGCCGUACGACACGCCCAGAGCCACUCACUUUCGUGGUCUUGCCGCGAGCUGUCGACACCUGAAGGAGAAACUCGUCUAUCACAUCAUCCUGCGUUCGUGUGCGUGUGCGUGUGCGUGUGUGGGUGGGGUGGGGAGUUGGGGGGAGGGGCCGGACAAUAUGCAAGCGGGGGAAGGGGGGAGGGAAAGAGGGGGAAGGAGUGGGGGGGGGUGAGGAGGGUGACAAGACCAAACAAGGGCCCGAGAAGAAUCGAGUGAAAAGACGCAAGAAUUAAAAAGUAUAUCCCUGCUAUCCUUCGCAAAACACACACAUACACAUACAUACACGCAGGCAGGCGGCUGGCAGAGGUUAAGGCCUGACUUCUGCUCCCGGCCGACCCGGGUUCAAAUCCGCCUGCCGGCUCCUCGGGUGUUUGAGGAGUGUUGAAAUGGGAGGUGGCCCCUCAUCAUAUGGACGAUGUAGGACGUGAUAAAAUCAAUCAGGAACUAAGUUGAGGCGCCGUUGAUCCGCUAGAUUUGGUUGGAUGCUGGUGGAGAGUUGCUGAACCCAACGAAUACAUUCUGAAGUCGAAUGGGGUGAAUGGAUUAGGG
rnacentral:lncRNA from 1 species